rnacentral:rRNA from 1 species
UACAGAGGGGGCAAGCGUUGUUCGGAAUUACUGGGCGUAAAGGGCGCGUAGGCGGCCUGUUAAGUCGAACGUGAAAUCCCCGGGCUCAACCCGGGAACUGCGUCCGAUACUGGCAGGCUUGAAUCCGGGAGAGGGAAGUGGAAUUUCCGGUGUAGCGGUGAAAUGCGUAGAUAUCGGAAGGAACAUCAGUGGCGAAAGCGACUUCCUGGACCAGUACCGACGUUCAGGCACGAAAGCGUGGGGAGCAAACAGG